AUUCCAAUGUCCCAAUGGAUAAGGCGCUGGUCUACGAAACCAGAGACUCUGGGUUCGAUCCCCAGUGGAGUC
rnacentral:tRNA from 1 species